rnacentral:sRNA from 1 species
UCCCCCGCUUCAGCGUUUCCCCAUUCCGUGUUAUCCUCGGCUAGCAGAGGUCUGAUUGUGUAUGAAGUAUUCAAUUACAUCCAUCUUUCGUUGAUUUUACCUGAAUCUGAUAAUGUCGAUGAUUUACCACUGAUCAUCCCUUUCCCCCAUGCUAGGCUGAUUUGUUCUUCGUUUCUUUUUUCUCGCGCAGGGACAAUCAAUGAUCCGCAUGUGGCAACGCACCAGUCAGAAAGGAGUUAGCAACAGCGGAAAAAACAAACAAGAAGAGCCUUGCAAGGUGGAAUUCCGAGGAUGGGGAGGGGGACAGAGAAAGAUGCGUGUCCAGCCGAAUCCGGAUUAACCUGUUGAAACGACGAGCUCUAUGAGCGAAUUUCCCUGCAAAAAUACAAUCUAGAUGGCCCAUGACGUUUGUGGAGCGAGGAAGAGCAACGGAGGGAUAUCAGGGAUAUUCAUUUUGGGGCGGGGGUAGUUGAUGAUCGGAUGAAACCAAUAUGUCUGUUCCUACAGCACAAGUAAACUCGUAGCUGUGAAUAGGAUUGGGUUAUUAUUGCUAUUACAACUCUUGUGUCUGAGCUCAUGUACAGUGCAACAGUGCGUGUUUUGAGGUUUGUGCAAUCAUGAACUGGUCAAGAUGGUGAUCAGACCUCAGUUGCCUCCACGGACCCCCAUGCGUCUCUGUACUGUAAUCCCGCUUCCAACCACCACACACCCCCGCGCGCAUGCGCUCCUCCGUAAUACCUAAAUAUUGCCAAGAGCGCGGCGAGACGCGGCAAUCAGGUAGGUAAAGCCUGGGUGGGAUUGCGGAGUCGCACAGUUUCCAUAUCCCGGACUAUCAUGAAUGGUUAUUGAUAUUGUUGUUCUGGCAAGCACACAUCAGUUUCCCUUUUCCGGAAGCAUGAUCUGUCAGGAGAUUAGUGAAAAACAUACAAUAAGUCAAUAUGGUGAAUAUCAAAUGACGUU